rnacentral:rRNA from 1 species
GGCUUAACACAUGCAAGUCGAGCGGGCGAGGUUGCUUCGGUAACUGAGCUAGCGGCGGACGGGUGAGUAAUGCUUAGGAAUCUGCCUAUUAGUGGGGGACAACAUUCCGAAAGGAAUGCUAAUACCGCAUACGCCCUACGGGGGAAAGCAGGGGAUCUUCGGACCUUGCGCUAAUAGAUGAGCCUAAGUCAGAUUAGCUAGUUGGUGGGGUAAAGGCCUACCAAGGCGACGAUCUGUAGCGGGUCUGAGAGGAUGAUCCGCCACACUGGGACUGAGACACGGCCCAGACUCCUACGGGAGGCAGCAGUGGGGAAUAUUGGACAAUGGGCGCAAGCCUGAUCCAGCCAUGCCGCGUGUGUGAAGAAGGCCUUUUGGUUGUAAAGCACUUUAAGCGAGGAGGAGGCUACUUGGAUUAAUACUCUAGGAUAGUGGACGUUACCCGCAGAAUAAGCACCGGCUAACUCUGUGCCAGCAGCCGCGGUAAUACAGAGGGUGCGAGCGUUAAUCGGAUUUACUGGGCGUAAAGCGUGCGUAGGCGGCUUCUUAAGUCGGAUGUGAAAUCCCUGAGCUUAACUUAGGAAUUGCAUUCGAUACUGGGAAGCUAGAGUAUGGGAGAGGAUGGUAGAAUUCCAGGUGUAGCGGUGAAAUGCGUAGAGAUCUGGAGGAAUACCGAUGGCGAAGGCAGCCAUCUGGCCUAAUACUGACGCUGAGGUACGAAAGCAUGGGGAGCAAACAGGAUUAGAUACCCUGGUAGUCCAUGCCGUAAACGAUGUCUACUAGCCGUUGGGGCCUUUGAGGCUUUAGUGGCGCAGCUAACGCGAUAAGUAGACCGCCUGGGGAGUACGGUCGCAAGACUAAAACUCAAAUGAAUUGACGG